rnacentral:rRNA from 1 species
UACGUAGGUGGCAAGCGUUGUCCGGAUUUACUGGGCGUAAAGGAUGCGUAGGCGGAUAUUUAGGUCAGAUGUGAAAUACCCGAGCUUAACUUGGGUGCUGCAUUUGAAACUGGAUAUCUAGAGUGUGGGAGAGGAAAGUGGAAUUCCUAGUGUAGCGGUGAAAUGCGUAGAGAUUAGGAAGAACACCAGUGGCGAAGGCGACUUUCUGGACCAUAACUGACGCUGAGGCAUGAAAGCGUGGGGAGCAAACAGG